GACGAACAAUGUUGCAAUAAUAAGAAAGCUCCCCUAGUAGCGUAUGAUGACAUUUCUGAUCAUGGGUCGCUUCCCCUUGAAGUUUGCACCAUUAUUGAUGACAUACCUUGUAUAUCAUUUUACAUUCGGACAUGAAUUUGAGGCAUUUUUUUAAAAAAAUGAAUUCAUAUUGCAGGUAAACAGUUGUUUGCAGUAAAUGGACCCGAUUUAUGGGAAAACAGCCUAUCUGUGUCAUCUGACCAUGGACUAGUGUUUGAUAUUGAAUCUGGAUCGCCUUUAACUCUCUGGGGACCAGAAAGAGGUUUUCAGCUUCCUCAUGACCUAGCCGUGUCACCAGAUGGCAAGUUUGUAUAUGUAUCUGAAAUUGAUCCUUCUGCUCCUAAAAGAGUUUACAAGUUCAGUAUCAUGGACUAAACAGCGGAAACUAAAAAUUGUACAGUGUUGUAUAUUUGUCUUAGAUAUUUUAAAUUUAAACACAACGUGACUUAAUAUUUCUUUGUAGUAUUUUUUAUCUUAACUGUACUCCCCGAUGAUUAUUGUCUAUUUUAACUGUUGCCCCAAAAUAUUAUUAAAUAUCAAAGUGUUUUUUUAAAUAUAUAUAUAUAUAUAUUUCUUGUUGUUACGUAUCGCAAUAAACCAUUAUAAUCUGUGCUACAUAAAUGUUUCAAGCCUAAGAAUGUUUUCUUUUUAGUUUUUUUCCGUUUUGAUUUUGUUUUAUGGCGUUGAGCAGCUAAUCUGUUUUGGAUUUGUAGUUAUCAAUGCUUUAUCCUGUAACCUUGUAUUUUCAA